GAGAUUCAGCAACCAGAAAUAAAGGCAUGAGGUCAAACUGCACAGGGCUUGGGAAGGCUGUCUGACUUCAGAUCCUUUAGGCCCUCAAACCUCACGGUUCAAGGUCAGACUGACUGGCAAGGGAGUGAAAGUCUUCCUGGGGCAUGGAGUGUGGACACCAUCGGAACCGGCUGAGGAAUACCAGAUCAAGAGGAACCGUAUUUGAGCAACUUAACUGAAGGAGCCUAAUCGGCACCUGGACCUAUUUUAUAUUAGGAAACCUGGAUCUUGAGCAUAAGUCCAGUGCUUUGAUGAGAUGAAACUUUGCAGGGAAAAUAGCUUGGAUGUGGAAGAAUGUAAAUAAUUUGUGCACGUGGGGCAAACUGGAAGUUUGAAACAUGGUUGCAAAUUUUUUUUAUAUUCCUCCCAUGGAGUGUGGAUUUAUGUCUCCCCCCCUCAAACCUGGGAGGGCUUGUAUCGACUUCCAUCAGGUGAAAAUGGUGGUGGAAGUCACACCACGUGAUUUCUGAAGUGAGGUCAGAGUAGUACAUACAGCUUCCAUCCUGCUUACAGGGAACACUGACUCUCCGAGCUCUGAACCACUCAUGUUAGAAGUCACUUCAUGCAGAAGGUAAAAA